GAUGAACGCUGGCGGCGUGCCUAAUACAUGCAAGUCGAGCGAACAGACGAGGAGCUUGCUCCUCUGACGUUAGCGGCGGACGGGUGAGUAACACGUGGAUAACCUACCUAUAAGACUGGGAUAACUUCGGGAGACCGGAGCUAAUACCGGAUAACAUGUUGAACCGCAUGGUUCAACAGUGAAAGACGGUCUUGCUGUCACUUAUAGAUGGAUCCGCGCCGCAUUAGCUAGUUGGUAAGGUAACGGCUUACCAAGGCAACGAUGCGUAGCCGACCUGAGAGGGUGAUCGGCCACACUGGAACUGAGACACGGUCCAGACUCCUACGGGAGGCAGCAGUAGGGAAUCUUCCGCAAUGGGCGAAAUCCUGACGGAGCAACGCCGCGUGAGUGAAGAAGGUCUUCGGAUCGUAAAACUCUGUUAUUAGGGAAGAACAAAUGUGUAAGUAACUAUGCACGUCUUGACGGUACCUAAUCAGAAAGCCACGGCUAACUACGUG
rnacentral:rRNA from 1 species